CUACAGCGGAAAGCAAGGGAUCUUCACACCUUGGGCUCAUGCAUGAGCCUCAGUCAAAUUAUCUAUUUGGUGGGGUAAAGGCCUACGCUCGCCACGAUCUGUAUCGGGUCUUAGACGAAGAUCACCCUCACUGGCACUGAGACUGAGACCAGACUCCUACUCCAGGCAGCAGUGGCGAAUAUUAAACUAUGAGCAAGAAGCCUGAUCCUGCUCUGCCGCGUGUGUGAGUAAGGCCAUUGGCUUGUAAUUCACUUUCACCUAGGACGAGGCUACUGAGAUUAAUACUCUUGGAUGGUGGACAUUACUCUCACAAUAAACACCGGCUAACUCUGUGCCAUCACCCCCGGUAAUACAAAGGGUGCGAGCGUUAAUCUAAUUUACUGUGCGUAAAGCGUGCGUAGGCCGCUUUUUAAUUCAGAUGUGAAAUNCNUGANCUUAACUUANGANUUGCAUUCNAUACUGNNNAAGNUAGANUAUGGGAGANGAUNGGUAGAAUUACAUGUGUAGCGGUGAAAUGCGUAGAGAUGUGGAGGAAUACCGAUGGCGAAGGCAGCCAUCUGGCCUAAUAAUGACGGUGAGGUACGAAAGCAUGGGGAGCAAACAGGAUUAGAUACCAUGGUAGUUCAUGCCGUAAACGAUGUGUAGUAGCCGUUGGGGCCCUGGAGGCUUUAGUGGUGCAGGUAACGAGAUAAGUAGACCGCCUGGGGAGUACGGUCGCAAGACUGAAACUCAAUUGAAUGGACGGGGGCCGGCACAAGCGGUGGAGCAUGUGGUUUAAUUAGUUGCAACGAGAAGAACAUUCCUUGGUCACCACAUACUAAGAACUUUCCAGGGAGGGAUGCGUGCGUUGGGGAAAUGACAAACAGGAGACGCAUGGCGGUUGUCAGUUGUCGUCGUGAGAUGUGGGAUUAAGUCCUGCAUCGAGCGCAACCCUCUUCCUUAUUUGCCAGCGGGUUAAGCCGGGAACUUUAGGGAUACUGCCAGUGACAAACUGGAGGAAGGCGGGGAUGACGUCAAGUCAUCAUGGCCCUUACGAGCAGGGCUACACACGUGAUACAAUGGUGGGUACAAAGGGUUGCCACGUAGCGAUAGGAUGCUAAUCUCAAAAAGCGGAUCGUAGUCCGGAUUGGAGUCUGCAACUCGACUCCAUGAAGUCG
rnacentral:rRNA from 1 species